rnacentral:rRNA from 1 species
CCUACGGGUGGCUGCAGUAAGGAAUAUUGGUCAAUGGAGGAAACUCUGAACCAGCCAUCCCGCGUGAAGGAUGAAGGGGCUCUGCCUUGUAAACUUCUUUUGUCUGGGGCGAAAAAGCUCGAUUUAUCGAGAACUGACGGUACCAGACGAAUAAGCACCGGCUAACUCCGUGCCAGCAGACGCGGUACUACGGAGGGUGCAAGCGUUAUCGGGAAUCACUGGGGCGUAGGCGUGCUUGUACGGCAGAGGUGAAAGGCUGUGGCUUAACCAUGGAAUUGCCAUUGAUACUGCAGAGCUUGAAUGAGGUUGAGGUUGGCGGAAUGUGACAUGUAGCGGUGAAAUGCUUAGAUAUGUCAUGGAACACCGAUUGCGAAGGCAGCUGACUGGACCUAUAUUGACGCUGAGGCACGAAAGCGUGGGGAGCGAACAGGAUUAGAUACCCGUGUAGUC